AAAAAAAUUGUUGGGCUCAGAUGUUUUAAAUGCUAAAAAGUUUUGACAAAACUAAAACUCAUGAUUACCUAUUAUAAUAGAGAUUAUAUUAUAAGAUAUUUACAUAAUUGAGAUUAGAAUUUUGGACAAAAAAAACGAAUCCAAAUUGUGUUACGGUGAAGAAUCUGAAGUUUUCAGUUGCUGUUUAACAAAGUUUGAACGUUUGAACGGGAGACAAUCUGUGAUCUAGGUAAGAAAUUCGUGUU
rnacentral:sRNA from 1 species